rnacentral:rRNA from 1 species
GACCCGUCUUGAAGCACGGACUAAGGAUUCCAACACGUGCACGAGUUCAAGGGAUGUUUAAACCUGGAGGUGAAAUGAAAGUGAGCUCCUUUUUUGUUGCAAGCCGAUCCCUUGUUGUGACCUGGACUGUGCAGGGUGACGUUGCGAUGUCAAAUUUGCCUGUUGUCUGUUGUGUAGUUUUGGGUUGUGGCGGCUCCUUUUGGGGGUUAUUAGGCGCAGGCCGAUGACUUGCCAUGGUGCGGCUCGGUCAAGUCCGUGGGCAAGUACCUGAGAGCACAGCCGUUGGGACCUGAAAGAUGGUGAAAUAUGCCUAGCGAGGACGAAGCCAGAGGAAACUCUGGUGGAGGUCCGAAGCAGUUCUGACGUGCAAAUCGAUUGUCAGAGCUGGGUAUAGGGGCGAAAGACUAAUCGAACCAUGUAGUAGCGGGUUUCCUUCC